GUGCGAUGUAACGAGCUCUCUGAUUGGUUGGACAGACACAGGCUGUCUGCCUGGAUUUUUCUAUGCUGCAGUUUGUGCUCAUAGCUUUGCCCUGCUAACACCUGUGUCCUUGCACAAAGGCCGUUCAGCCUCGGGAUUUACACUCUGCCCGACACCGAUAUGUGAUGAAUGAGGGGACCGUGCAGUGAAACGUGGAGCUGAAACUCUGACUGUGCGCCUGUGGACUCAGCCUGACCACCUGUUGAAGGUCUGUCUGAUGACAAUUUGGAGUCCUCUGGGAGGUGAGGACACACCCACAUCUGUCUACUCCCACAGUCAUGGAGGGUGUUACUGUCAGGGAGAGGGGGAGGACGUGGACCCAAACACUGGACUCUUCCGAGAGAAAACUGUGAAUUUACUUACAGUGAAAAAUACAAACGCAUGUGUACAAAUCUUUGGCACUGUGUCUCCCUGAGGAGAUUUCCUGAAUGCCUUCCACAUGGUAUGAAUGUCCGUGACUCCACUCUCGGGAAAAACAGACUCCGCUCCUGAACCGUAGUGCCACAACAACACACACACGUUGGCAAGACAAUCCGAAUAAGCGAGGUUUUUUCACACAAUUAAUACGGCCGUACUGACGAGGGCAAACUCAGCGAUCCGGCGUCGACUGGAGCUCAGCCGCACUGCUAAAUAGGGCGCUCCUGACGAUCGCAAUCGGCGCAGCAGGUACGGCUGCCUCCAGUGCCAGAACACUUCCGAGUUUAAAGGUCACCUGGUGUCCAAAAUGUCCGGGAGCGCAAGCGUAAAUAAUCGCAGGGAGAUGGGAAAAGAGGAAGAACACGAUCAAACUCUCCACACGGACACUACAAGCAGGUCGGCCGGAGAGGACAGUUACGGUGUUGUGCCAACAACUGAUUUCCAAUGUUUGCCUGUGUUUUUAUGUGGAAUGUCUUUACCUAUGAUGGCAAAUAGAGUUCAGUGAUGAAAUUAUAGCAGUUUAAAUAUGAGCAAUCAGGUUUUGGCACAACUACAGCUCUGAGUCACACACACAGGAAAAAAGCAGCACCUGGCCUUCGUGCAGGAGAGCGUGCCUCAGUCAUGAUGCACCCUGCAUCCGCUACUUUACUUCCUAAUCUCCAUCUCCUUUAACACACAAUGUAAAUUACUGUGGAAAAGUGUACAUGUAGACAAAGUCUGUAACCUGUGCACACUUGUACUUGUUUAUGAGUUACAUUUAAGAAGAGUAAAGUUAUUCACAUCGAGUUUUUAUUCUUUCGUAAUAUGUACCACAGUCAUUCAGCUCCAGCAGUUUUUCUAUCCAUCUUAUCAAUUCCAGUCUAAUCUGAAUUCACUGCUCGAGUUCAGUUUGGGUCUUAAACUGCAGAGAAUACCUCCUGAAUCCAGUGUUUUUGCCUGAUAAUGGCAGAAAGCUAACAGCGGUUUUCUUCUGAGAGAUGCUGCUGAGGCUGAAAUUAAUCCAAGAGCAACAACAACUGAAAAUAAAUGUGUACAUAAAUCUCUUUUUUUU